rnacentral:rRNA from 1 species
UACAGAGGUCCCAAGCGUUACUGAGAAUCACUGGGUUUAAAGGGUGCGUAGGUGGUCCGUUAAGUCAGUUGUGAAAUCCCCGGGCUCAACCCGGGAACUGCUUCUGAUACUGGCGGACUUGAGGCCAGUAGGGGUCACUAGAACUGACGGUGGAGCGGUGAAAUGCGUGGAUAUCGUCAGGAAUGCCGGUGGUGAAGACGGGUGACUGGGCUGGUUCUGACACUGAGGCACGAAAGCGUGGGGAGCGAACGGG